rnacentral:rRNA from 1 species
GAUGAACGCUGGCGGCGUGCCUAAUACAUGCAAGUCGAGCGAACGGACGAGAAGCUUGCUUCUCUGAUGUUAGCGGCGGACGGGUGAGUAACACGUGGAUAACCUACCUAUAAGACUGGGAUAACUUCGGGAAACCGGAGCUAAUACCGGAUGAUAUUUUGAACCGCAUGGUUCAAAAGUGAAAGACGGUCUUGCUGUCACUUAUAGAUGGAUCCGCGCUGCAUUAGCUAGUUGGUAAGGUAACGGCUUACCAAGGCAACGAUGCAUAGCCGACCUGAGAGGGUGAUCGGCCACACUGGAACUGAGACACGGUCCAGACUCCUACGGGAGGCAGCAGUAGGGAAUCUUCCGCAAUGGGCGAAAGCCUGACGGAGCAACGCCGCGUGAGUGAUGAAGGUCUUCGGAUCGUAAAACUCUGUCAUUAGGGAAGAACAUAUGUGUAAGUAACUGUGCACAUCCUGACGGUACCUAAUCAGAAAGCCACGGCUAACUACGUG